ACAUUGCCCGCAAAAUGGCCGACAAGAAAAGGAAACAAAAACGUCGGCGAUCCGACCUGUCGUCCGACGACGAAGCCGUACUGCCCUUCAAGGAUAUCUUGAUACCCGACUCUGACCUCCUGGAAACCCUCAAACAACUCCUGGGGGCCCAUAACGCCGUGUCCACCUCCACCUCUUCAUCCAAACCGUUAACUCUUUCGGACCUCAAUCUCUCCGCCACUUGUCGCGAAGUCACCGACCUCUCCCUCUCCUCCGUCCAAUCGGCGAUCGAAACCCUAAUCCUCCAAGUAGCUCACUCCAUUGUAGCCGGUAACGGUUUCUCCUUCCAAGUCCCCUCACGCGCAUCCACCAACCAGCUCUACGUCCCCGAACUCGACCGCAUCGUUCUGAAGGACAAAUCUACUCAACGUCCAUUCUCACACGUGUCAUCAGUACGGAAGUCCACCAUCACCGUCAAAAUCCUCUCUCUCAUUCACCAACUCUGCUUGAAAAACAUUCACGUCACCAAGCGAGACCUCUUUUACACGGACGUCAAGCUCUUCCAAGACCAGACACAAUCCGACGCCGUUUUAGACGAUGUGGCGUGUAUGCUUGGCUGUACUCGCUCCAGCCUCAAUGUGAUAGCCUCGGAGAAAGGCGUGGUUGUUGGAAGACUUACUUUCAGCGACAAUGGCGACAUGAUUGAUUGUACCAAAAUGGGAAUGGGAGGUAAAGCAAUUCCGCCGAAUAUUGAUCGAGUUGGUGACAUGCAAAGUGAUGCAUUAUUUAUACUUCUAGUUGAGAAAGAUGCUGCUUACAUUAGGUUAGCUGAAGACAGGUUUUACAAUCGAUUCCCUUGUAUUAUUGUUACUGCCAAGGGCCAGCCUGAUGUGGCAACAAGGUUGUUCUUGAGGAAGAUGAAGAUGGAGUUGAAGUUACCUGUUUUAGCUUUAGUUGAUAGCGAUCCAUAUGGGUUAAAGAUUUUAUCAGUUUAUGGUUGUGGGUCGAAGAACAUGUCAUAUGAUAGUGCGAAUUUAACCACCCCGGAUAUUAAGUGGCUGGGGAUUAGGCCAAGUGAUUUGGAUAAGUAUAAGAUUCCGGAGCAAUGUAGGCUGCCAAUGACUGAGCAGGAUAUUAAGACAGGGAAGGAUUUGUUGGAGGAGGAUUUUGUGAAGAAGAAUCCCGGCUGGGUUGAAGAGUUGAAUUUGAUGGUGAAGACUAAGCAGAAGGCUGAAAUUCAGGCCUUGAGCACUUUCGGUUUUCAAUAUUUGUCUGAGGUUUAUUUGCCCUUGAAGUUGCAGCAGAAGGAUUGGCUAUGAGGGACUAUUAAACGGCAAUGUAAUCACCUUGUAGCACCACCUAUUCUUCUUUGCAACCAACGGACAAGAGGUGUGUCCAAAUCUACACUUUUAUCAAGUGCUAUAAGAGGUCCAUCCGCAGAGACAUUGAGGCCUAAACCAUUCUGCAAAAGUUUAGUUAUUGCAUCUUUCACCUUAUAGUUAUCCUGCUCAGCUGGGUAUGCAUCUACUUUGUUGGGUCCUAAGAUGAUCAACAUGUCAACUUUAACCAGAAUCCCUGCAAUCAGGAUCCAGGUGAGCACUUGAAUGUACCAAAACGCUGAAAGUUAAAACAUUUCUUCAUCUCAUGUUACCUAUUUGCAUUAGAUUCUAGUCUGCUGAAAUUGCAACAAUGUAAUUGGUCUACUGGGAAAACCUUAGUGAAAUGUGUUAAUGGAAGACAUUUGCAAUUUACCUGCUUCA